AUUGAACGCUGGCGGCAGGCCUAACACAUGCAAGUCGAGCGGCAGCGGGAAAGUAGCUUGCUACUUUUGCCGGCGAGCGGCGGACGGGUGAGUAAUGCCUGGGGAUCUGCCCAGUCGAGGGGGAUAACUACUGGAAACGGUAGCUAAUACCGCAUUCGCCCUACGGGGGAAAGCAGGGGACCUUCGGGCCUUGCGCGAUUGGAUGAACCCAGGUGGGAUUAGCUAGUUGGUGAGGUAAUGGCUCACCAAGGCGACGAUCCCUAGCGGGUCUGGGAGGAUGAUCAGCCACACUGGAACUGAGACACGGUCCAGACUCCGACGGGAGGCAGCAGUGGGGAAUAUUGCACAAUGGGGGAAACCCUGAUGCAGCCAUGCCGCGUGUGUGAAGAAGGCCUUCGGGUUGUAAAGCACUUUCAGCGAGGAGGAAAGGUUGGUAGCUAAUAACUGCCAGCUGUGACGUUACUCGCAGAAGAAGCACCGGCUAACUCCGUGCCAGCCGCCGCAGUAAUAC
rnacentral:rRNA from 1 species